rnacentral:rRNA from 1 species
AAUAGAUACCAGGUAGUCCACCCCGUAAACGUUGGGAACUAGUUGUGGGGUCCUUUCCACGGAUUCCGUGACGCAGCUAACGCAUUAAGUUCCCCGCCUGGGGAGUACGGCCGCAAGGCUAAAACUCAAAGGAAUUGACGGGGACCCGCACAAGCGGCGGAGCAUGCGGAUUAAUUCGAUGCAACGCGAAGAACCUUACCAAGGCUUGACAUACACCGGAAACGGCCAGAGAUGGUCGCCCCGCAAGGUCGGUGUACAGGUGGUGCAUGGUUGUCGUCAGCUCGUGUCGUGAGAUGUUGGGUUAAGUCCGCAACGAGCGCAACCCUCGUUCUAUGUUGCCAGCACGUAAUGGUGGGAACUCAUGGGAUACUGCCGGGGUCAACUCGGAGGAAGGUGGGGAUGACGUCAAAGUCAUCAUGCCCCUUAUGUCUUGGGCUUCACGCAUGCUACAAUGGCCGGUACAAAGGGCUGCAAUACCGUGAGGUGGAGCGAAUCCCAAAAAGCCGGUCCCAGUUCGGAUUGAGGUCUGCAACUCGACCUCA